rnacentral:rRNA from 1 species
UACAGAGGUCUCAAGCGUUGUUCGGAAUUAUUGGGCGUAAAGCGCUUGUAGGCGGCACGUCAAGUCGCGUGUGAAAUCCCCAGGCUUAACCUGGGAAGUGCGCGCGAAACUGACGAGCUUGAGUGCCGGAGAGGGUCGCGGAAUUCCCGGUGUAGAGGUGAAAUUCGUAGAUAUCGGGAGGAACACCAGUGGCGAAGGCGGCGACCUGGACGGACACUGACGCUGAGACGCGAAAGCGUGGGGAGCAAACAGG